ensembl:lncRNA
UGUGAAGCAGGGAUCUGCCAAGAGGUGGAAAAGGUGCUCCCCUUGCUCCAGCCUUGCUUUACAGACACCCACAACUGACUUAGAUCCUUCAGCAGAGAGCAUAGACCGUGUGGCAGAGGCCUACAGGUGGGAUUGCAUCUGGAUGACCAUUUAUUAUGUCCUCUUCUUCAGGCAUAUGCUCUUCUUAUGAGAAUCCUCAAACAAUACUUACUGUUUUCCAUCCUGGAGGCGGCUGAAUUACAGUGGUGAGCAAAAUGCCCUUUGUACAUAUGAAGAGCCUGGAUUGCAGAUGCCAAGAAAUAUGGUAACAGCAGCAUUUCUCACAAACUUUGCCUGUUUUGUGAAGUGUUGGCCGUGACACCUGAUUAUGCGACUGCCCACUGUGUAGGAGUUGCAAGGUCAGCAUGAACUAAACAAAGGAAAACCGUGGUCUCACCCAAUAUACAGCCCACAGCAAACACAGAGUGUGCAGGGAGUAAUGAGUUUGCAUGAUAAGAGUAUAAUCGUUGUUUUGGGUGCUGUUGUCCUUGAAAACUGCUUUAGAAGCUUUUCCCAUCAGGUAGCAUCAGCUGUGAGUGAGAGCAGCCUCCUUAGAAACUGCUAUUUUAUCCUGCUCAACUGCAGACAUAGGCUCUGAGCCUUCAGUACCUGUUCUCCAACUUCAGACAUGACAGCCAGAUGUUUUCUCUCCCCACCCAGACUGCUGGCAGCACACAUACCUCAGUUGGUAAAGGACUUCUGCGUUAGCCAGGGCUCGAUUCUGCAAGGUGCAGAGCCCAGGUGUGAGGCAGUGACUGUCCCUUGUUCCCUGCCAUCAGCGGCCCAGGAGAACAGUCAUUGUCCUUCAGGAAUGCUUGACAUCAUUCGGAAAUGCUGAGCACCUUCCAGGACUGGAACUACUGGGAUGAACAGGGCAGAAACAGGCUCAUGCUUUGCAUUUGGCCCAGGCUAUGCUUUUAAAGGACAUGAGGAAGUUCUUUAUUCUGGACUACGAGCCUGCUCUUGCUUUGACUGAAGCAAGUGGAUUUUGUUUCUGUACUUUGAUGUAGAGAGUAGAGAUUGAUUUUCAUCAGCUUGUGGCUGUUGAGUAGCAAGUCAGGCAGUCUGGCUGCUCCACAGCAUCACAGGCAGGCUGAGCCACAAACACAGCAUCAUCAUUUUUUUUCACACCUUCCUCUGCUCACCUUCAUCAAACAGCUCCUCUUCAUUAAAGCAGUUCCUCCGCUUCUCUGCUCGCUUUACAUGUUAUGACACUGCUGUGAAGCACAGAAUUCACUGAAGCCUUAGAGAGAAAUAGAUAAAUGAGACAUCUUGAGCCAUCACUACAGAGAGAGAAAAGGAGGACAUGGUGCUGAUUUCAGCAAACACUCAUGUUUCCACAACACUUACUCACUGUUAGGCUACUCCACAAACCUUUUAUGUAAAGAAAAUUUGCAAGAAUAGCAACGAAGAUGACAUAAUGAAUGAAGUGAGCAGUUAUUUUUGGCUGCCCCCAAUUUGGGUGACAUUGAGUUUGGCCACAGCACCUGCCAUGAUGGCUUGAUAAGGUCUGAAAUAGUGCCUGAAUAAUAAAUGAGGCUCACAUCUGGUAAAAUUCAGUGUUUGAGGUUUUUUUUUUAAUGUUCUUUUAUCAUGUUCCUGUUGCUUGACUUUAUCUGAAGGGAUUAUGUUUAGAGAGCAUACAUAGACAAAUAGAUAUGCUAAUAAAAAAUGCUAUAGUUGAUAAGGUACAGGCAACACGGAGCAUUCAGUGCAGGCUACAACCAGCUCCAGACUAAAAAUGGUUACUAACGUAACUGAAAUUUGUACUUUGGUCAUUAAAAAACACAGAUAACAAAUGAGUAAAUGAUCCUUUUGACUGGUUUACUUUCAGGAGGCUAGAUUAUAUUUGUCAGUGUAGAUCAAGAGAAUGGUGAAAGAAGGGAAAUAAAAGGAGUUGCGCUUUCUAUUCUAGUAACUAGAAUGAGGGGUCGAGGGGGAAAUGCAGGUUUCAAUCUGAUAAAUAAGUGCAUGAUAUAUGCCGGGCUUAUGGCAGUGUUGUUGCAGGCCAGGAGAGCUCGGGAGGGACGUGUAUUUCUAAGCCCUGUGAGACUGGCAGUUCUCACUCUUAAUCCAGUUCCCAUCUUCUCUGCUAG